rnacentral:sRNA from 1 species
GCUGGGCGUGGUAGCACAUGCCUGUAAUCCCAACAACUUGGGAGGUUGAGGCAGGAGGUGUGCAAGUUCAAGACUAGCCUCAGCAACUUAUAGAGGCCCUAAACAACUCUGUGAGACUUUGUCUCAA